CUCGCGCUGUCAAUCCUUUCCCUCUCCCAUUCUCGCGCAGAUCUCUCUCCUUCCCUGUUUUCUUGAUCUUUUGCCUCACGAAAUCUCUAUCUGAGCGAGCGGUUGCAUCCAGACACAAGGAACCAGUUCCCCUGUCCGCCACCUGUGACCCUAGCUGUGGGCGUCGCCGCCGUCCGGCUUAAAUCGGUACCGGAGUAACAACGACGGCCGGCCGCCGCAAGCACGGCAAGCCACUGGAAGGAUUCAGCACUGAACGCUGCAAGGUUGCAACGUUGAGGAAGUUUGAAGAAUAAGCAAAAAAGUUGAAGUUCAGAACACGGAGGAUUGAUGGCCGGCGGGGAAUCACUACUGUUCAUGUGCGCUUCCUGCUUCCUUAUUUGGUUUGUCAAACUUGUGUGUUAUGUCAGACCUAUCAAUGUGUCCGUGUGUGCGAAACUACUGAUAUGCACUACUCCGGCUCGGAGCUGUGGUGCUUCCUCGACGCCAAGUUGUGUAAUCCUUCUUUACCAACUUCCCUUUCUAUGAACGUCCAUCAUGUUUUCUCCCACCGGAUCGAUAGUUGCUACUCUAAUACUCUCCACUGAAGAGAGAAGUGGAAUUGAUUAUUUUUAAAA